rnacentral:rRNA from 1 species
UACAGAGGGGGCAAGCGUUGUUCGGAAUUACUGGGCGUAAAGCGUGCGCAGGCGGCUUCGCAAGUCAGACGUGAAAUCCCCGGGCUUAACCUGGGAAUGGCGUUUGAAACUACGGAGCUGGAGUGUGGCAGAGGGAGGUAGAAUUCCACGUGUAGCGGUGAAAUGCGUAGAUAUGUGGAGGAAUACCGAUGGCGAAGGCAGCCUCCUGGGCCAACACUGACGCUCAUGCACGAAAGCGUGGGGAGCAAACAGG